GGUUCCCUGGAGAGAGCUUGACUCUUUAGCAGAGGCAAAAUAGACAAAUCCGCCUGCUGAACAUCCCCCCAGGGGAAAUCAAACCCGUCUGUCUUUUCAUUUGCCGGGGACUUGAUGAUGUUUUCUCUUCUCACAUCAGAGGACGGAUGAGCAUUUUUCCUCCUACGACUCUGCUUGGGCUCUUCUGGGUUUUAUUUCCAGAAGGUGCGUGCCAGGGACAAGAGGGCUCCCUGCAGGCCGCAGGGUUUAAUCAGCAAGAGUGAGAUGUUCCAGAAUCCCGCAGCUUGCCAGGCCCUGCUUCCUGGAGAACAGAGACUUGCUGCAGAUCCCCUCCAGGGGGUGGCCCGGCAGGGCCAGAGAGAGAAGCUCACGGCGCAGUCCAGACACUGCCAGCCUCGCUCACACCACAGAGCCUCUCGGUUCCCUUUCCACCAGUGAUGCAAGCCAAGAAGCAGUCCCUGAAGCCUUUGUGGGAGACUGCGACACAUCUCCCCCAAAAUGGAAAGACUAAGGAGCCGAAGAAAACUCAGAAGAAGCGAGGGAAGAAGAGCAUUCUGCCCUCCCUCUCUUUGCCUAAAAGCAGGGAACAGAUUCCCCAAGACAGAGGCCUCCCGUGUUCUGGCCUCCGUUGAAGAUGUUCUACAGGCCAGAAUUCUAAGCCGCUGCUUGGGGUGCUUUGUCCCUGAGCCUCUCACAGAGAACGGACACUGCACACGUCAAUGAACUUGCUUAUGCGUCUCUCAUUCAUCGGGCUCUUUUACUGUCGGUCCCAACUACAGACUCAUGGGGACAGUGGAGGACGCCUAUCUCUUCCCUGGUGCCUUCUUCCACUGCAGCUGCCAAUCUCUGACUGACUCUGUGUGGUUUUCCUCCUUGAUACCUCUGCAAUGUGUUGACCGUCCCCUUUCAUUCACGACAUCAAUGGUGUGGCAUGUCUACCAUAUCCCAAGUGUAUGCAGUGGGGACAGAGUGGUGCAUGAUCAAGGAGAGUCUCCUGCUCUGUGGAGGCUGACGGGGAGGAGAAGGAAAUGAACUAAGAACCAUAAACAUACUGCAGUAUCGGAUCGUGGGAAGGCUGCCAGUAGGAAGCUCAAAAUCAAGGGUCAGAUUAUAAGGGGCAAGAGGGAAGGAGCAACAAUAUAUGGAGCAUCCAAGAGAAUUUUCGUUUGUUGUCAUUGUUUGGGUGUUUGGUUUGGUUUGGUUUUUGAGGAAAAGAUAAUAGAAUGGAACUAAGCUAAGACUGAAGGAUGAGAAGCAGACAGUCAUUUGAUAACCUGGUUGGGACUUUCAGGCGGAGGGAACAGGAAGUGGCCACUGCCUUUGACCGAUCGCCAGUUUUCCUGGGGAUCCACCAAGGUGUCCUCUUGCUCAUACACACGCCGCCCCCCCAUGGAUCUUUAGGAAAUGCCACCUUCGCCCUCGAAUGCCCUGUCCUGCUGCCUCAUUGACCAACCCUCCCAGGGCUGCACACUGCCGUUGCUCCUGCAGGGCAGGGUUCCGGUUCUGCCAGCAGGCAGCCCCCCGAGCAGGCCAGCCCCCGCAGUCCCUCUCCAGCCAGGUGCACUGCAGCCCUCCUGGCCCUGCUGGCCUCCUUAGCGUCUCCUUGUCCACGGAACCUCCUCCAGUUCUGCUUCCCUGUGGCCAGAGGCCCUUUCCUCCUCUCCUCAGAGUGAAUCCAGGCUCAUCCUUCAGUUUCCAAAUUACUCUGCACAUUACCUCGGGAAGCCUUCCCUGACCUACUUUUGGAAAUCUAAUGCCCAAACUAUGUAUUCAGGACACAUUAUCCUCCCUUUAUAGCUCUUCUCACUCUGGAAGAUUUCCAUGUGAUUCAGGACCCUGGGAUUAAUGUCUAGCUAUAAGCUCCUAACAAGGAGCUCCACCCCACCCCAAAGAGUACCUAGAACAUAAAACUAUUGAACGAAUGAAUAAACUCGCGAAUGAUU